CGUGCCAGCAGCCGCGGUAAUACAUAGGUCACAAGCGUUAUCCGGAAUUAUUGGGCGUAAAGCGUUCGUAGGCGGUUUGUUAAGUCUGGAGUUAAAGACUGGGGCUCAACCCCAGCCCGCUCUGGAUACUGGCUGACUAGAGUUACAUAGAGGUAAGUGGAAUUCUUAGUGGAGCGGUGGAAUGCGUAGAUAUUAGGAAGAACACCAAUGGCGAAGGCAGCUUACUGGAUGUACACUGACGCUCAGGGACGAAAGCGUGGGGAGCAAACAGGAUUAGAUACCCUGGUAGUCCACGCCGUAAACGAUGAUCAUUAGCCGCUAGAAUAUUUAGUGGCGCAGCUAACGCAUUAAAUGAUCCGCCUGAGUAGUAUGCUCGCAAGAGUGAAACUUAAAGGAAUUGACGGGGACCCGCACAAGCGGUGGAGCAUGUGGUUUAAUUUGAAGAUACGCGUAGAACCUUACCCACUCUUGACAUCUUCCGCAAUACUAUGGAGACAUAGUGGAGGUUAACGGAAUGACAGAUGGUGCAUGGUUGUCGUCAGCUCGUGCCGUGAGGUGUUAGGUUAAGUCCUGCAACGAGCGCAACCCCUGUCUUUAGUUACUAACGGAUAAUGCCGAGGACUCUAGAGAGACUGACUGGGUAACCAGUAGGAAGGUGGGACGACGUCAAAUCAUCAUGCCUCUUACGAGUGGGGCAACACACGUGCUACAAUGGACGGUACAAAGAGAAGCAAUAUGGUGACAUGGAGCAAACCUCAAAAAACCGUUCUCAGUUCGGAUUGAAGUCUGAAACUCGACUUCAUGAAGUUGGAAUCGCUAGUAAUCGUAGAUCAGCUACGCUACGGUGAAUACGUUCUCGGGUCUUGUACACACCGC
rnacentral:rRNA from 1 species